GUUAUUUAUUUAGUGCCUCUGUGGGUCAUGUUUUAUACCGCCUGGGCUUCUUGUCAGGCCUUCGAGGAUCCAGCUUAGGUUGCAUUCAGGAACGAAAACCCAAGGCCCCUUAAAUAACGUUAACUUAACAGCUGACGUUUUUAUGAAAACGUCUGCGCAGAUACGUGCAGGAAAGGGGGACAGGGCAGACAGAGAGCUGGAGGGGCCCUGUCAUGGAACCUGCUUAGGAGCUGUCCUAGGGGAACUGGGAAGUGACAUUCAAUGCCAUUGCCUGAAAACACAGAGCAGGCAAAGAGGGAAGCCUGCGUGAGCCCUGACUCAGCCCCCAGAAGGUGCUACAGCAAGCCGGGAGCAAGCAUGAAGGGACGACACCUGCUGUUGAAGGAAGAUGAUCCAGACAGAUGAAAAGAAAAGCUAUCCAUCAAUAGCUUUCUUGAAAAUGCAGCUAAUGGACUCUCAGAUUUGGACGUAGAUGUUGCUUGCUGCCGCCUUCGCCACCAUGCUGAUAAUGGGCUAAACCCUUGGAAAUGAUAAACAAGUCUCAAUCAAAUCUCUUCUUCUCUAAGAGCUGCUCUAGUCUUGGAGUCUCAGCUGUUUUGGACCAGAAGCGUUUCUUUCUUCCUCGGGAUGACUGUCCAUCCCCGUACGAUGGCAUGUCUUCCUUUGGCCUGCUGAAGGAAACCAGAAAUCCCUUUUGUUGCUCAGUGAGUCAGACCACCUGCUCCUCAUGGCCCUGGAUGUCCUUGCCUUCCCCUGUGACUCCCAGUUCACUCAGGGCAGUCUUAUGGGACCCGGAUGUCAAUUUGGCUUGAAUUGCUCAAUCGCUGCUGACAUUUCGUUAACCACCCUGUGAACUUCUCCAGCCCAAAGUCGCAGCAACUUGUGCCCUUGAAAACCGAACAGAAAACAACCAUAUUGAUUGUCUACUAUCAACAAGGAAGAGACAAUCUGUCUGUGCUGAGACUGUUCAUAAUGCAUUUCAGCCUGCCCCAUCUUUCUCAGCAGCUGGCCUCCUCCCGACACAGGCCUGGGCUGCUUUCCCCUCCUACUGCUUAGGUCUCUGCCAGAAUUAACCCUGAAGUGCAAGCGCCUUCCCAAGGUUUCCCUAUUCCUGGGUGGGAAUCAGCAUAAAUCGUGUUCUGCAAACAACCUGAUGGGAUGGAGAAGUUAGGACCACUGAGAGGUCACACCUGACCCCAGGAGGCAUGUCUGCAAGAAUCUCUUUUAGCAAAAUUCCUGUUUCAAAGAUAGUGUCAUUUGGCUAUAUUAAAAGCAUUAUUUGUGUGCAUUCUGGGUUGUUGCAUAUACAAACUGAGGUGUCAGACCAUCAGACAGUAAAGUUUAUCCAUUAUAUCA